UGUACAGCCCAACGGCUGGCGUCAGGUUGAGGUUGGCUGCUUCCCGGUAUAUGUGGAGCGUGGCAGCAGUGGGGGGCAGGAAGGAGAUUAAUUACGUGUAUACGCCAUGCUAGUACCCUAUUCCUACGAGCAAAAUUCUGGUUCAGUUUUCGGAAAUAGGCAACUGUAACUUACCAACUUUCUAACCCUUCACAAGUCGAUUUCAGUUUCGAGGUAAAUAUUAAGCAGGAUAAUAUACUUAACCCUAAUUAUUUAUAAAUUAAAGGCCGGAAGACGGCAGACUUGUUGAAGGAAGCGCGAGAUGACCAAUGGAUGAGACAAGUGUCAGAGCUUUGCUCCGCCCUUGCCUUCCACCUUUGUAUCUAGCUGCAAAACGCCAUUGGGACCCUUGAUCCUACUAGCCUCGGUGCAGGCGGUCCCUCGCUUGUCUCGACAGGCAGCCCAACAUAUUCUCAGUUUAUGCCCAGCAGAGCUAGGAAAUGGGCUUGUCGAUCCUCUCCAAGAUUGCCGUGGCCAUCAUGUCCCUCCUCCGGGUACGUAAGUUUUGGGAAGCAGUUAUCGGUCGUUGAAAUAUUGCCUAGGAAGGAAGAGCGGGACCUUGACUAUCUACACGCUGUUUGCUUAGAAGCCUACCUAUUAGUUUACGAACAGGAUGGAAUGAAAACUUCGUUUGUGAGGGCCAGAUCCUAGGGUUGGUCCGGUACACUUCGACGCCGGCACCAGGUGCGAACGCGCCACAACAUCUUGCCAAUUUCGCCAGAACAUAUUACCAAAUCUCUGUGUGUAGCAUUUUGUUUGACUUGGGCGUUUGAGAUGCCUGCCUAGGAAGGACGUCACUAUGGCGCUUUGUCGGAGCCACACUUUGUAUCGCUCGCAAGGAAGGUUUGCUUGUUUUAUAUAUACACCAAAGAAUUCUCGUACGGCUCAUGCCUCAAAGUAGGUAGGGUUGUUGACCUGCACUUGCCUUGGCCUUGUCGAUGGAUGGACAUCCUGCAGGUCGGACUAUCCAUAGCCAUCAUCAUCAUCACCGCGGGACAGCUUUACCAUAUAAAAUGGUCUAUCAUGAAGGAUGGAGAAUUUUUCUGUGAGACAUUGCGCGCUGAGUAGCCGUUUCACAGUAGGUGACAAUAAAAGGAGCCCAGCCGCAGUCAUCUUGCACGGGCCUCGAUGUGUAUUGGCCCAUUGGGGCUCUCUCCUCCUUCCCUUCCUCCCCCCCGCCCUCCUCCCCCUUCCCGCCCUCCCCGCGUCCUGUACAUACUCCCUGUUUUACCGUACAAGCCUCCUUGGGGCUUUUACGGGGCCCCCUCUACUUGGCACCAACAGCAGUGGCACCAACAGCACCAGCAGUAGCAGCAACACCACUAAUAAUAGUAGCAGUAGUAGCAGUGGCAGCAGCAGCAGCACGACCACCACCACCACCACCAGCAGGCGAAACAGCAAAAGAACGAUGGCACGGACUGCGAUGCAUUCCGCAUUAGGAAUACGAUCUUCAUACUCCAUGAUACCAACCCCCAUGCUCGAAUGGACUGAAAUUAUCAGCAGCAGCAGCAGCAUUGUCAUCGUCAUCAUCCUCAUCACUCCAACACUUCUUAAGCCACCCAACAAGUGAUGCACCCACCCAACCAACCACGAGCUCCCGAAUAGCCCCGCCCGUCCCCCUUCUCUGUCCUGGAACGCAAACCCCGAACUAAGACCCUAAAACCCACAAGACUAAAACCCAAAUCCGGACUCAAGUCCCGACCCCAAACCCUAAAACCCAGUCCCCCGCACCCACAUGCCCGGCCCGCGCCCCAAAAAGACAACGCGCACGAAUGCCUGAUGGCGGGCAGCGUCGGGGGCGGCAGCGUGUGUGGUUACACCUUCGCCGUGUGCGGCCUGUCGCUGCUGCUGUCGCUGAUCACGUCCAUUCUGUUGGUGGGUUGGGCGGUAUGGGUUACGGUUGUUGGUUGCGGUUUGUUAAUUGCAGUUUGUCGGUUGGAGGUUUAUUCGUUGGUGUUUGUUAUCGUUGGGCUGGGCCAGGAUUUGAUGUGUUGUACGUGUAGCAGCGGAGCGGUCCGUCCUCAAGAGCCUCCUAGUAGCCCCUGGGGGGUUUGCAUGAUUGCGUGGCUGAUUUUUUGUUUAGGGUUUUAGGGUUUUGUUUUCUGCCUGGUACGGCAAAAUGUCGUGAUCCUGAUGCACGAGCCAUCAUGACACCAUAGCACCUAGAUGGCUCGUGUCGUAACUCUUGACCUGGACACGUGCACUUCGCUGCAAGUUUGCUGCAACUGCAGCUUUGCUGUAAGUGCAACCCCCUUCUUACAGGGAUACGGCUACGUAGGUGGUUCGCACGGGGCUUCUUUUUAUUGAAUAUGUUACCAGGUGUCAGUUUCCAGAGGUUUCCCCACCUACCUAACUGCCUAACUGCCUAACUACCUACCCGCACUUGACCUCAGUGCAUCACUUGCGAGCUGUGUGGUGGAGGCGCUUGGGUGUCGAUGCUGGUGGAGGGCUUCCAAACAGCGUGGUGGGC
rnacentral:lncRNA from 1 species